GGGAUACACCGGAGACUUUGCUAAGGUUUUUGAAGCGACAACGUGACAAAAAGACAAUACUUUGGCCUUACAACUUCCAGUUUCACUUUAUUCUUAUCGUCAUUAAAAUGUACGAAGGAGAAGUUGAAGUCUUUGACUCACUAACCAAAGAGCCUAUACAAUACAAGUCUUGUUUUCUUAUGCUCAAAAGCGUAUGGGAAACUUUCAUCAAGGAAGAUCAGUCCCAUGAUUGGAAACCGAAGCUGAUAUGGCGUGCGAACAAAAAAUGCGCAAAACAACCACCGGGGACUAAUCUAUGUGGAUACUACGUUUGCGAGUACAU